GACAGAGGGUGCAAACGUUGUUCGGAAUUACUGGGCGUAAAGCGCGUGUAGGCGGCUGCGCAAGUCGGGCGUGAAAUCCCACGGCUCAACCGUGGAAGUGCACUCGAAACUGCGUAGCUUGAGUCCUGGAGAGGAAGGUGGAAUGCUUGGUGUAGAGGUGAAAUUCGUAGAUAUCAAGCGGAACACCGGUGGCGAAGGCGACCUUCUGGACAGUGACUGACGCUGAGACGCGAAAGCGUGGGGAGCAAAC
rnacentral:rRNA from 1 species